AAAGUACUAAGAAUCCCUUUUUGGGGUUCUUUACUUUUUAAUAACUCUGCUUAAACUCUUUAUAUAAGUUUCAUAUAUAUAUGCUCUUUGUGAUACUGCUGAUUUUUAUAUUUUUACUGUUACAUCAUUAUUAUGUUUUUUUAUGAUGUAUGCAUAUUUCUUCUGUACUUUUUAACAUUUAGAUCUUUUAUUUACUAACAGUAUGAUAUACAUACAUUAGGCUUUUUAUCUUACUUAAUCAGGUCUUUAUCAUUCUGUAUUGUAUUAAAUAAGGUAUUUCAUCUUUAAAAGCUAAUUUUUAAUAGACAAAUUGCCUUAAUGGACUUCCUUCAUUCAAAUGAAUCUUUGAAUGAAGAUCCACCAGAUGAAUUGAAUCAAGAUGUUUUAAAGAUUUUAAGGAAGAUUAAAUUAUCAGUUUUUAAUAAAAUCCAUAGUAAAAUCCCCAUGCCUGCAUUUGUUCAGAUUCAUGAAACUACAGAAAUAACUUUUACAAGUCAGACCUGUACUCAAAAAAUGAAACUCACCAACUAUUAUGCUUGAAAAGAAACUGGAAAGAUGGUAUUUAAAAGGAAUGAAAUGAAUGAAAGGUUGCCAGUGAGAAAUACAAUCUCCUGCUGAGUUUCUUGAUGUUUUAAAUGGAUCUGCUAGCUGAUGAAUAUCUGAGAGUUUGACUUUGUUUUGUUAUACCAGUUAUACCUAAGUAUUGCAAUUGAACCUGCAUGUGUAGAACUAUAUAGAAUGCUUUUAGCAUAUUUACCAGAAUGUGAUAUAGAGCUACGGGUCCUUAGAGAUAUUUGUUAUCUUGUGACACAUAGAUCAUAUUUCACAUUCAAUGAUAAAUUUUAUUUACAAAUAGAGAUCCCAAUUAAUAGUCUGCUUGCAGGUGUCUUAGUAAAAUUAGUAAUAUAUAGAAAAGAAAAAAAUAUAAUGAAUGAACUAAAUAAAUG
rnacentral:lncRNA from 1 species